GCUGGCGGUUGCGGGUUCGAUCCCCGCACAUGACAAACAUUUGUAUUGGUCAUACAGGUGUUUGCCGUGGUCUGGGUGUUUGUGCAGUCCUUGUGGGUCUCCCCACCGUGCCUCGGAGAGCACGUUAAGCCGUCGGUCCCGGUUGUUAUCAUGUACACCUGAUAGCGAUCGUUACUCAUAGCAGGGAAUAUAUCCGCCAACCCGCGUUGGAGCAGCGUGG
rnacentral:misc_RNA from 1 species